GGUUUCGUGGUGUAGUGGUUAUCACGUUCGCUUUACACGCGAAAGGUCCCCGGUUCGAUCCCGGGCGGAACCA
rnacentral:tRNA from 1 species